rnacentral:lncRNA from 1 species
UCUGUCAAACUAAGCGUAAGUGGUUCACAGUCUGUACCACAGCUAAAUUUAAAAACCUAUAGGUCUAGCCGGGCGCGGUGGCUCACGCCUGUAAUCCCAGCACUUUGGGAGGCCAAGGCGGGCGGAUCACGAGGUCAGGAGAUUGAGACCAUCCUGGCUAACACGGUGAAACCCCGUCUGUACCAAAAGAAUACAAAAAAUUAGCCAGGCAUGGUGGCGAGCUACUCAGGAGGCUGAAGCAGGAGAAUGGCGUGCACCCGGGAGGCGGAGCUUGCAGUGAGCCGAGAUCCCACCACUGCACUUCAACCUGGGCAACAGAGCGAGACUCUGUCUCAAAAAAGUAAACAAAUAAAAACAAAAAAAAGAACCUAUAAGUCUACAUAUUUUUUAUACCGGCUAACUGUGACCAGAUGACACAGCCUGGACACCAAAACAUAAAAGUCUUCUAUAAGAUUUCUAAGAGUAUACUCAUGAGUUCUAGAAAUAAGUCUAUUAUCUUCUGUAGUCAGUAUUGGAUACUUGAAAUAAAUAUAUAUUUUUAAUUUUGUUAUUAUAGAGUCUUCAAAUGCUUUAGCAUCUCUCUUUUGCAAGUCUGUUUUAGUAUAGAGUCCUUAAUCAGUUUUUCCCUAAUUGGACUGCUAAGAAAAUCACCUAGAGACUUUUAAAAAGUACAGAUUUUGUCUCACAUCUUUUGCUAUCACUAUCAGAAUCUUCAGGGUGCAUGUUUUAAAAUUACAAUUUUGAAAAAUACCCCAAAAGAUAGGUGACAGGGAAAUAAAAACUUGAGAACUCAAUUCACUAUGUCAAAGAAAAAUAAUAAUAAUAAGCUGAAAGCUGAGUCAUGCAAGAAACUACCUUUCCUGCUGUUCUUAAGCAGACAGCUACAGAUGAAAGGUAAAAUAUCUCCAUAGGCAGCUAUGCCAUGUUCACAUGAUCUUAUGUAAAGUGCCAAUUUACUGAGAACAAGACAAAAAUAUAAUUGAUUAUUCUCCUACCUGCUCCUUUUGUCUUACAACAUGUGGAUUACCGUACCCUCUCUUUCCCCUCCAGAUUACUUUUCC